AUGCCAUCACUGUUGCCGCUCAUAAAACCCAAGGUCCAAUCAGACAGAAAGGAGCGUUUCCCUGGUCCCAGCAGUGCUUCUCAUUUCUUACCCAAGAAUGAGGGUGCAAUUCAGGCUGCAGCACAACAGCUAGAAAGAGCGGCGUCAGUGGUUCGUCAACUCACCACAAGGGACGAUAGCCAUAAAGCGCAGCAGUCCGAAAGGCCAAUGCCAGCAGUUCAUCACCACUCCUUUGAUCACCUCUUCUCUACUCGUCCAGACCCUUGCUCUGUCAGUAGAGCCUCAUUACAGUCACAUUUAGGCUAUGCGGACGACAGGGCAGGUAUGAGUGAUAUUGCGAGGUACUUGGUAAGUCGAGAGCUGGUGGAUUCUGGCCUGAUCAAAUUUAAUGAUCAUCCAGAAAAUUACUGGGCGUGGAAAUCUUCAUUCUGCAAUGCUAUUGGAGGACUGAACUUAAGUGCUGGCGAAGAGCUUGACCUCUUAACAAAAUGGUUAGGAAAUCAGUCUUCAGAGCACGUCAUACGGAUUCGUUCUGUACAUGUUGCCAGGCCUGAUAUAGGUUUAAGAAUGGCUUGGGAUUGCCUAGAGGAGUGCUAUGGCUCCCCCGAGGUAAUUGAAAGAGCUCUCUUUGGGAGGAUAGAGAACUUUCCUAAAAUCAGUCAUAAGGACCCCGUAAAGCUCAAGGAGCUGGGAGACCUGCUAAGGGAGUUAGUGUCUGCGAAAUCUGAGGGUUACCUGCCAGGGCUCUCAAACUUGGACACCGCAAGGGGUGUCAAACCUAUCGUUGAGAAGUUGCCAAUUGGUCUGCAAGAGAGGUGGUUAACUCAAUGCUCACAAUACAAGGAGCAACACAAUAUAUGUUUUCCUCCAUUUGCAUACUUUACAGAGUUCAUACGCAGUGAAGCACGCCGAAGAAAAGACCCAAGUUUCACUCUCUUGACAGCCCCUGUAACCCCGUUGAAUAAUUCCCACAGGUAUACUACAGGACCAUCAAAGUUUGAUCGAGUGGAAAAGAGAUCAGCAUAUGGCAAAAGCUAUGUUUCUGCUCACAAGGCUGGAAUUGCAUCGCUACAAACAGCUUCUCAGGUGGACAGUUCAAGCAGCAGGCGAGGAGAAAUAGACAAACAAUGCCCAAUCCACAAGAAGCCACAUCCUCUGAAAAAGUGUAGAGGUUUUCGAAGUAAGUCACUAGAGGAACGCAAAGCUUUUCUUAAAGAAAAUGGCAUCUGUUUCAGAUGUUGCUCUUCUACCAUUCACCAGGCAAAGAACUGUGAAAGUAGCUUUGAAGUGCACAGAAUGUGA
ensembl:lncRNA